rnacentral:rRNA from 1 species
UACAGAGGGUGCAAGCGUUAAUCGGAAUUACUGGGCGUAAAGCGUGCGUAGUCGGUUAUUCAAGUCGGGCGUGAAAGCCCCGGGCUCAACCUGGGAAUUGCGUUCGAUACUGUUUAGCUAGAGUUCGGCAGAGGGAAGUGGAAUUUCCGGUGUAGCGGUGAAAUGCGUAGAUAUCGGAAGGAACAUCAGUGGCGAAAGCGACUUCCUGGACCAGAACUGACGAUCAGGCACGAAAGCGUGGGGAGCAAACAGG